UCUUCUAAGCUCUUCUUUUCUCUGAAUCGCCAUUUUUUUCUUCUUUCUUCUUUUUCUGCUGUUGCUUCUUCCCCAAUUGCUUUUCUCUGCUCUCCACAACACCGUUUGAAAUGGCAUCCUCCUUAUUGCGCAAUCAACUCAUUAAAUCCAUCGGUGAAUCCUUCAAUCGAAGGGGACUUUAGUGUAGAGUUGAAGGACCCAUGCCUUAACAGUGUCCUUUGACGAAUCUCUGAAUUAACGUCAAACGUCGAAUUUUAAUUGUAUAAUUCAUCGUUGCAAGUCCUUUUGGUUUUAGUGUUGUGUUUAUAGUUGUUGCUUUUGACAUUUUAAUUAGUCCAUCCCUGCCAUUGGUGUUAGUGUUGUGUUUGUAGCUGUUUGCUUCGUUUAGGUGUUUUCCGGUACUACUGUUAACUCUUUGCUCUAUCUAUCAGUUUUAGGGUUACAUUGAUUCACACAGAAGAAAAGGUUCUCUAUUUAUUCAAACUAACUUGGAUAGGUCUUUUUUCUUUUUUCCGGAUUUAAAAAAAAAGUGUUUGUCAUGAAAAUUUAUAAGUUUUCGGAAAUUCUUUUUUCAACUCAUAAAAUUACAAUAUUUUUGUUAAGUAAAAUAUAUGUCAAAACAUAAUUUCAAAUUUCAACUUAACUCAAAAAAUAUUUUUUUAAAAUAAAAUAAAAAUCAUCCAAACGCCUGCUACUUUGGACUCUUUUCUUUCGCUGCUUUCAAAGGGUUUUUCAGAAGAUCUUCUUUCUUCUUCAACGCUAAGUUCCAGGUAUGAUAUUCUUCUUCUUCCCUUUCUUCUCUGCUCUUCUGCUUUGAAUCGCUGCCUUAACAGUCGGAGGACCCAUGCCUUAACAGUUUUCCUUUGACGAAUCUCUGAGUUAACGUCAAACGUCGAUUUGACGUUAGAAUUUUAAUAGUAUAAUUCAUCGUUGCAUGUCCUUUUGAUGUUAGUGUUGUUUUUGACAUAUUAAUUAGUCCAUCCCUGCCAUUGGUGCUAGUAUUGUGUUUGUAGCUAUUUGCUCUGUUUUAGGUAUUUUCCGGUACUACUGUUAACUCUUUGCUUCUAUCUUUCAGUUUUAGGGUUACAUUGAUUCAAUUAUCUUCCUCCCUUCCCUUCCCUUCCCUUCCCCAUAAUACUACUUAUUUUCCUUCUUGCAGUUUUUACUUUUUAAAGGAUUUUUACUAAGAUGCCUAUGGUAACACGUGGUGCUGCGAAGCGUCUUCGGAAACUGUCUAAGGAUCCCGAGUUGGAUGUUCCAUCAAUAGUUGAUUUUCUUAAGUAUGGUGAUUGCGAUUUGAUGAAGUUGUUGGCGAUCAAACAACUCCAAAAAUUGUUCGAUUAUGGUAUAAUCACUGCUCUAGAAGAUGCUCGAGACUCUGGUGAACUUGUUCCUCUACUUAAUGAAAUUCUAGGGAGAGAGGAUUCAUCAGAGCUCAAGUCUGAAGCUGCUAAGGCUGUCAUAGACGGUAUUCCUGAAUUGUUGGAGCUAACUGAUUUGGUGAUUGAGAAUAAGCUGGUGGAAACUCUUCUAAAGCUUUUGCAUUUUCCAGAUGGUAAUGUUUGAGAGCAGGCGGUGAAGAAACUGGGAAAGGUUGCUCAAUCCGUUGUAGGUUGUGAUUAUGCUCUAAUUGAGUGUGGGGCUUUGGAUGAUUUGCUGGAAAUUUUGAACAACACUAAUGACAUUUCAAUGCUGAGAAAAGCCACGUGGACUAUAUCAAAAUUUUGUGGAGGCAGGCCAAAACCGCCCUUUGAGAAGGCCGGUUAAUUACUGUUGAUUUUUUUUUUUUGCAUCUGCAACUAUUUGAUGCCAAACAUUACUGAGUACAAUUCAAUUGUCAGGUGAAACCAACAAUUCCAACUCUUCGUAACCUUCUUGCUUCAAAUGUUGAUGAAGAGGUGCUGAAAAAUACAUGCUGGGCACUUUAUUACCUUUCUGGUGGUGUAGAUAUGGCCUCCAAUGGAUACUAGAUUAAAAUUCAUUCCUCAUCCUUUUGUGAGCCGUAGUGAUAUGAUUAAGGCCUUCUUUCAGGCUGAUGUUCUUCCGGUGCUACUUGAUCUCUUCAAUUAUACGUAUUAGCGAGCUGGGAGAUGAGCACCAGAAAGAGGUACGCGGGUAUAAGGAGCUUUCGUGGUUGAACCAAAAUACUUUGAUGAACUAACCAAUGAAAAAAGGAACAAACUAAAAUAAAUUAAGUGAUUGAAAGGUAGAAACAUCUUAAACAACAUGUAGUGAGAUUAUAAUUUAGCAUGUUCCUGAUUCAACGUCAAAUUGUUUACUGCCUAAUUUCUAAUAGCCUCCGAAAAACCCACCUAUUUGGUAAAGCUGUCCACCACAAUAUUUUUAAAAAGUCUUCUUAUAGUAAGAACGUUUGACUGAAGGUGUAAAAAUAGGUUCUUUGUCAUCUUCAAAUCAUGGGCAAGUCCACCUCCCAGCUCCAGCGCUGGCCAUCUAGGCUGCAUUCUUUUUUUUGCCUACAUUAUCUUUUAGUUUUUUAUAACUGGUAUUCACUAACUUAGCCUUUUUAGAUCUUGGGACAAAAUUUCUAUGUAUGUAAGCUGGUAAUAAGAAACUUGUCCUUGAUUAAAAGAAGAAAAAAAAAAGAAGAAAAACUUGGAGUUGUCUAGAUUUAGGUUGAAAAGCAUCUUCAAUGCUCAAAAAUUGUACUUGUAAACUUUAAAAUGGGGCCUUACUUUCCUAGAUAUCUCUAGGCAUUGUCCAUUUUGAGCCCAGAAUGAUGAAAAACAUAUCCCACAAUUGAGGAGUAAUUUUUCAAUGUAGAAAUAGGCGGUUUGUGUCCUCGGGUUGCUCUUCGCAUAGAGAGCAUUUGCUCUCAAUGGGCAUUCCUCUUAUUUUGCAAAUUAGACUGCGUGGGACUAUUUUUUCCUACUAACCAAGUGAAGAUCUGAGUUUUGUAAGAUGAUGAUCGCAACCCGUAGCAUUGCUAAACGUAACGUCCUUGAUUGCCUAUUGGGCUUGCUAAAGAGUGGAAUAGAGGAGGAGAUGGUCUGCGUGUCUAUAGCAUACAUUACUAUUGGGAGCACGCAGCGGGCAAAGGCUGUAUUUAAUGCUGGAUUAAUAGAACCUCUACACACACUGGCUACAACUAAAAAAAUGGGUAUUGCUGCUGCUGCACUUUCAAUUGCAAUUAUCUGAACCAGUGACAUUGCUUACACCAAAGACUUGGUGGAUUGCUGCAUAGAUCCUCUGUGUGAUUAUCUUGGCUUCUCUGGUGGCACCAUCAGUUUAAAAGCAGUAGAAAGUAUAUUGAAGUUUGGAAAGCGUAUUGAAGAGGAAGAUGGCGACACUGGUGGUUAUACUAAGCGGAUCGAAGAGGCUGGGGGUUUGGAAAAGCUUGAAUACCUAUCUACUGCUGAAAUUCGAUAUGAGGUUGUUCCAAUAUUGGGUACAUAUAUAUUGGCCGUCACUAGGACGUUAUGCUGAGAGAUUGCGUAUAAUGGAAGUUUGGAGCUCUGACGACGAAAAAUGGGAGGACCCAAUGUAUUAGUGAUGUCUUAAGUGAUUAACCUGUUGUUGACAUAUUUUCCAUCUUUAUAUGACAGAGAUGGCGUAAAAUGAAAAGGGAUAACUUUUUGACAAAUUUCUCCAUUAUUAUAUUUAUACAUUUCUACUUCUGCCUGUUAUAAAUGAAAAUGAAAACUAGUCACCUCAUGAUAAACAUGCUUACCAGCUACCCUUGGAAUUUAAAUUGUUUGUUUUGUGCUCUAAGGAUUCGUAUUGUUGCAGCAUUCAUGUGUGUACUUUGGCUUGAAUGGACAAAAAACUCAAUUUAUUUGCAUUUAAUGCCUUUCGUCUUCCAGCCUUGGGGUCUGUUUUUGUGCUACUUUAUCUUUGUAUUGCUGUAGUUUCUCUUAGUUUUCCUUAGAAGAAUUAUGUCAAAUAGCCAUUCAUCCAACCGCUUAAAUUAAAAAAUAAUCGGCGAAGGUAUCCGCUGAGCCCGUUUUGAUAAAUCCUUGCGGCCUACAGUGCCACAGACACCAAGGCAUGCUUGCCAUGCGCUGUUAUGAUUAGUUAAUCUGCUACCCGCUCUGUUUGAAUUUGUGUGACAAUUUGAAUCUGAAUGGAGUAAGAAAAACAUGAAGACUGGUAAAACUUGUGGCUCUAAACAUGUCAUUUAUGUGGUUAUCAUAGCUUUUCGUUGUGAGAAAAAUAAAAAGUAUAAAGUUAAUUAUUUUUAAAUUUAAAAGAGUGUCAUUCUUUUUAGAAUGAGCUAAAAAGAAAUAUCACAUAAGUCGGGAAGAAGGGAAUUCUUUUGAACCAUUAAAACAAAAAAAACUCUUUUCUAUUAAUUGCAAGGAAAUUUAGCUGUGUUCCAGGGAUAUUUUAGUUUUACCAUAAAUUGGCUUUUUCUUUUUUAUGUAAGCAUAUUUUGAACUGGUUAUGACACAUAGUGUAGUGUAAGGACAAGAUAGGAAAGUUUGAAUCGAACCAGACUAGCUGAUUUGGCACAUAUGGCUAGGAUGCUAUUUAUCUUUUUUUACUUUUUCCCAUAAUUUAUUUUCAUUUAAAACUUAGUAAAUGAUUAAAAGUCUAAAAGUCACGUCUAAUUGAAACCUAACGUUACGGCCGUUCCCCUAAUUUUGGAAAACCCAAAUGGCUCAUUAACUUGGCCGUUCUCUAGCCAAUGUUUGCUAUAUUGGUUGAAAAUAUGUGCUUAUUUUGCUUAGUUUUAUCAUGUGCACGAUAAUUUAGUUAUUAUUGCCUAAUAUUAUUCGUUUUUUACUUUUUUUUUUUAUUAGUUUUACUAUGUUUUGAUACUUUUACUUCUGCAAUAUUGGGGAUACAUAUUGGCCGUCACUACGACAUUAUGCUAAGAGAUUGCGUAUAAUGAAAGAUUGGAGCUCUAACGACGAAAAAUGGGAGGACCCAAUGUAUUAGUGAUGUCUUAAGGGAUUAA